GGACAGAAGGGAGCUUGCUCCCGGAUGUUAGCGGCGGACGGGUGAGUAACACGUGGGUAACCUGCCUGUAAGACUGGGAUAACUCCGGGAAACCGGAGCUAAUACCGGAUAGUUCCUUGAACCGCAUGGUUCAAGGAUGAAAGACGGUUUCGGCUGUCACUUACAGAUGGACCCGCGGCGCAUUAGCUAGUUGGUGGGGUAAUGGCUCACCAAGGCGACGAUGCGUAGCCGACCUGAGAGGGUGAUCGGCCACACUGGGACUGAGACACGGCCCAGACUCCUACGGGAGGCAGCAGUAGGGAAUCUUCCGCAAUGGACGAAAGUCUGACGGAGCAACGCCGCGUGAGUGAUGAAGGUUUUCGGAUCGUAAAGCUCUGUUGUUAGGGAAGAACAAGUGCGAGAGUAACUGCUCGCACCUUGACGGUACCUAACCAGAAAGCCACGGCUAACUACGUGCCAGCAGCCGCGGUAAUACGUAGGUGGCAAGCGUUGUCCGGAAUUAUUGGGCGUAAAGGGCUCGCAGGCGGUUUCUUAAGUCUGAUGUGAAAGCCCCCGGCUCAACCGGGGAGGGUCAUUGGAAACUGGGAAACUUGAGUGCAGAAGAGGAGAGUGGAAUUCCACGUGUAGCGGUGAAAUGCGUAGAGAUGUGGAGGAACACCAGUGGCGAAGGCGACUCUCUGGUCUGUAACUGACGCUGAGGAGCGAAAGCGUGGGGAGCGAACAGGAUUAGAUACCCUGGUAGUCCACGCCGUAAACGAUGAGUGCUAAGUGUUAGGGGGUUUCCGCCCCUUANUGCUGCAGCUAACGCAUUAAGCACUCCGCCNGGGGAGUACGGUCGCNAGANUGAAAC
rnacentral:rRNA from 1 species